CAAGACUUGCUUCGAAAGGACUCUGUGGGUGACUUUGAUUGUUGUUGCUUGACCCUACAGCCCUGCACCAACCCAGUCAUAACAUUGACUUUUCAACAUUCCUCAUGACACACUGAGCAUCAUGAGGUGGACUCAACAUACAAGCAACAUGUGACAGUAAACUGAAGAUGUAGAGGCAUCACAGAAAUACAAUGAACUCCUUGGCACUAUUGGACCCAGACAGAUUCCUAACAUCUACUGCUAUUUGAAAUGAUCAAACCAUGGAGGAGUACAUUGAGUGGUAGAUUCUAAUGAUGGCCAAGAUGAACUGCUCAUAACACAAACUCAGAAGUGUGAAGUUUCCAACACAACCUUAACUGAAGCUCUUCGAUGUCUGUUCGCCCAGCGCCUUGCCAUGAACUACUGCGUGUUGUUUCAACUCAGGGAAUUAUGUGACUACAGGGCGACUACAUGUAACUGGAUCGCUUUGAUGUCUGUUCACCUCUCGUUGAUAACACUCACCAUGAACUACUGUUUGGUUUUACCAACCCAGGGAAGUAGGCAUCUACAAGACGUCAAUGCUGGAACAUUUCUUGACACUGCAGACAAACACUGAACUAAGGAUCUUGGCCAUCAGACUGAGAUGGCAAUUGACAGAGGAGGUGAUUUCUACAAGGACUCUUGGAAAUCCAACCAGUGUUCAUCAUUUUCAUCAAACAGUGUUUAAAGCAUGGAACGUUUCUUUGUUGAUACUAACAAUCUGUGAAUGACUUCUUGGCUUCUUUAGGCCAAGUAUUAUAUGUCAUCAAUUAAUGGAACACUUAAGUGACACCAUGAUGACAUGAUAUGAGACUUUGCUCUUUGUGUGGAGAUGCAGAACAUUUAUAGAUAACUUUUU